GUGAUCUUCACAAACUUACUUUAGCAAGGCCAUCCUCUGUUGGAUAUCUUCCUUCUGUUGCUGAGUUGAAAGCUAAUUCCCAGUUUCUCACUGAUUACCAGUGGAUUUUGUGCCUUCUGAUAUCUCAAAGUUAAGAGAUAUUCAAGGAAGAAGAAUUCAAUGCCCAUUGGAAACUGUGGAGAAUAAUUAUGAACUUCCCCG
rnacentral:misc_RNA from 1 species